AGGGGAGNGGCCGUAUCUGGAGGCGAGCUGCAGGUGCUACCCGGACACGCUGCGCGACGGGGCGCAGAGGUCAGUGGGAGUUGGCUCUUCUGAGCAGCGAGAAAGGCCAGAGAACGAGGCGCUAGAAGACGGCUCUGACAGCAGGAGAGCGGAUGGGCAGCAUGGAGAGAACAAGAAUCUCUACAUUUUUUUCAUCAAACACCCACUGGAAAAACUUGAGCAUGGACACCAAAUAUUUGAAGAUGCUGACAAAUUACUCGUAGGAGCAGAGCUCCACACCGGAGACAGCCCCACUCCCCAAGUACAAGUGUGCGAAGGAAACCGCUGGCGCCCCAGGAUGCUUCUUUGCUAACGGUGACUUACCGUGUGACACCUGAGGUCCCUGGUGUUACUCUGGUAAGAUAAUGUUUGCAGUUGUGUUUCAGAUAUGUUCACCUAAUCCAGCCAAGAAAUGGGCAGAAGACAUGAGCUGACAUUUCUCCAAAGAAGACAUCCAAAUGGCCAAGAACACAUGAAAAAAUGCUCCCCAUCAGUCAGCAUCAGGGAACCACAAAUCAGAACCACAAUGAGAUACCACCUCACACCAGUCAGAACGGCUAAAAGUAACAACUCAGGAAACAGCAGAUGUUGGAGAGGAUGUGGAGAAAGGGGAACCCUCUUACAUUGUUGGUGGGAA